rnacentral:lncRNA from 13 species
AUGGUGUGUAUUACAGUAGACAGUGUAGUAUAAUGAUGGUGUGUAUUACAGUAGACAGUGUAGUAUAAUGAUGCUGUGUAUUACAGUAGACAGUGUAGUAUAAUGAUGGUGUGUAGUAUAAUGAUGGUGUGUGUAGUAUAAUGAUGGUGUGUAUUACAGUAGACAGUGUAGUAUAAUGAUGGUGUGUAUUACAGUAGACAGUGUAGUAUAAUGAUGCUGUGUAUU